rnacentral:rRNA from 1 species
UUAGUGAGGUCUCCGGAUUAGCUUUGGCGCACCGGCAACGGAAUGCUAUNNCUGAGAAGUUGAUCAAACUUGGUCAUUUAGAGGAAGUAAAAGUCGUAACAAGGUUUCCGUAGGUGAACCUGCGGAAGGAUCAUUAUUGAAAUAAACCUGAUGGGUUGUUGCUGGUUCUCUAGGGAGCAUGUGCACGCCUUGUCAUCUUUAUAUCUCCACCUGUGCACCUUUUGUAGACCUUUCAGGUCUAUGUUGCUUCAUUUACCCCAAUGUAUGUUAAUAGAAUGUUGUGCCUAUAUAAUAUAUACAACUUUCAGCAACGGAUCUCUUGGCUCUCGCAUCGAUGAAGAACGCAGCGAAAUGCGAUAAGUAAUGUGAAUUGCAGAAUUCAGUGAAUCAUCGAAUCUUUGAACGCACCUUGCGCUCCUUGGUAUUCCGAGGAGCAUGCCUGUUUGAGUGUCAUUAAUAUAUAUAUCAAACCUUCUCUUGUAGAGNGGUUUGGAUGUGGGGGUUUGCUGGCCUUUUAGAGGGUUCAGCUCUCCUGAAAUGCAUUAGCAGAACAACCUGUUCAUUGGUGUGAUAACUAUCUACGCUAUUGAAUGUGAAGGGCAGUUCAGCUUUCUAACAGUCCUUGGACAAUUCAUCAUUAAUGUGACCUCAAAUCAGGUAGGACUACCCGCUGAACUUAAGCAUAUCAAUAAGCGGAGGAAAAGAAACUAACAAGGAUUCCCCUAGUAACUGCGAGUGAAGCGGGAAAAGCUCAAAUUUAAAAUCUGGNGGUCUUUUGGCUGUCCGAGUUGUAAUCUAGAGAAGUGCUAUCCGCGCUGGACCGUGUACAAGUCUCCUGGAAUGGAGCAUCAUAGAGGGUGAGAAUCCCGUCUUUGACAUGGACUGCCAGGGCUUUGUGAUGUGCUCUCAAAGAGUC